rnacentral:rRNA from 1 species
AACGCGAAGAACCUUACCUGGGUUUGACAUAUAUCGGAAACGUUCAGAGAUGGGCGCCCCGUAAGGUCGGUAUACAGGUGGUGCAUGGCUGUCGUCAGCUCGUGUCGUGAGAUGUUGGGUUAAGUCCCGUAACGAGCGCAACCCUCGUCCAAUGUUGCCAGCGGGUUAUGCCGGGGACUCAUUGGAGACCGCCGGGGUCAACUCGGAGGAAGGUGGGGAUGACGUCAAGUCAUCAUGCCCCUUAUGUCCAGGGCUUCACGCAUGCUACAAUGGCCGGUACAAAGAGUUGCGAGCCUGUGAGGGUGAGCGAAUCUCAAAAAGCCGGUCUCAGUUCGGAUUGGGGUCUGCAACUCGACCCCAUGAAGUCGGAGUCGCUAGUAAUCGCAGAUCAGCAACACUGCGGUGAAUACGUUCCCGGGUCUUGUACACACCG